GCGAGUGUAGUUCAAUGGUAGAAUGCAAGCUUCCCAAGCUUGAGACGGGGGUUCGAUUCCCCUCACUCGCUCCA
rnacentral:tRNA from 1 species